GUUAAGGCUGAGGCGUGAUGACGAGGCACCACGGUGCUGAAGUGACAAAUGCCCUGCUUCCAGGAAAAGCCUCUAAGCAUCAGGUAACAUCAAAUCGUACCCCAAACCGACACAGGUGGUCAGGUAGAGAAUACCAAGGCGCUUGAGAGAACUCGGGUGAAGGAACUAGGCAAAAUGGUGCCGUAACUUCGGGAGAAGGCACGCUGACAUGUAGGUGAAGCCCCUGCGGGUGGAGCUGAAGUCAGUCGAAGAUACCAGCUGGCUGCAACUGUUUAUUAAAAACACAGCACUGUGCAAACACGAAAGUGGACGUAUACGGUGUGACGCCUGCCCGGUGCCGGAAGGUUAAUUGAUGGGGUUAUCGCAAGAGAAGCUCCUGAUCGAAGCCCCGGUAAACGGCGGCCGUAACUAUAACGGUCCUAAGGUAGCGAAAUUCCUUGUCGGGUAAGUUCCGACCUGCACGAAUGGCGUAAUGAUGGCCAGGCUGUCUCCACCCGAGACUCAGUGAAAUUGAACUCGCUGUGAAGAUGCAGUGUACCCGCGGCAAGACGGAAAGACCCCGUGAACCUUUACUACAGCUUGACACUGAACAUUGAGCCUUGAUGUGUAGGAUAGGUGGGAGGCUUUGAAGCGUGGACGCCAGUCUGCGUGGAGCCAACCUUGAAAUACCACCCUUUAAUGUUUGAUGUUCUAACCUGGCGCCGUGAUCCGGCGUGGGGACAGUGUCUGGUGGGUAGUUUGACUGGGGCGGUCUCCUCCCAAAGUGUAACGGAGGAGCACGAAGGUCAGCUAAUCCUGGUCGGACAUCAGGAGGUUAGUGCAAUGGCAUAAGCUGGCUUGACUGCGAGAGUGACGGCUCGAGCAGGUGCGAAAGCAGGUCAUAGUGAUCCGGUGGUUCUGUAUGGAAGGGCCAUCGCUCAACGGAUAAAAGGUACUCCGGGGAUAACAGGCUGAUACCGCCCAAGAGUUCAUAUCGACGGCGGUGUUUGGCACCUCGAUGUCGGCUCAUCACAUCCUGGGGCUGAAGUAGGUCCCAAGGGUAUGGCUGUUCGCCAUUUAAAGUGGUACGCGAGCUGGGUUUAGAACGUCGUGAGACAGUUCGGUCCCUAUCUGCCGUGGGCGCUGGAGAAUUGAGGGGGGCUGCUCCCAGUACGAGAGGACCGGAGUGGACGCAUCACUGGUGUUCGGGUUGUCAUGCCAAUGGCACUGCCCGGUAGCUAAAUGCGGAAGAGAUAAGUGCUGAAAGCAUCUAAGCACGAAACUUGCCCCGAGAUGAGUUCUCCCUGAGACU
rnacentral:rRNA from 1 species